AAACUCGUGGAUAGUGUAACUAGGGUAAUAAUAAUGGCCUUAAAUUUAUGAAUAAUUUGUGGGGAGAGCAAGCUGAGCAGUUGUCAGGGCAGCUUGCCUUUAUUUUAUUUUAUAAGAGUUGGGGCUGAUAGCUGGGCACUUGGACAUAUAGGCAUGGAGACUCUUCCCUCAUCCAGCUUAUUGGUACUAGUGUAGUAGGGUUGACCCGCCGUACGGAACAAAUCCAUUGGUGUAGACUUUUGCUUAAUACUAGUCCACUAGAAUCGACUCUUUAAAGCACAUUUAAAGUGUUUUUGUUUGGUGUUUAGACACUGGAACUUAAAAAUUAUCAUUGCGGUAGAGAAAAAAAUUGUGAUUAUA
rnacentral:lncRNA from 1 species